rnacentral:misc_RNA from 1 species
GAACACCGAUAAGUUGAACGCAUAUUGCGCAUCGUGCGACACAGCUCGAUGUACACAUUUUUGAGUGCCCAUAUUUGACAUAUCCAAGUCAAACUACGUCGGCGAGGCCAGCCCUUGCCGUGCGUGCAUAGAUGAUGAAAGAGUAUGGGACCUAAACCAUCCCGUUUCUUGCAUUGAAAGCGUAGCGUGUUACCCAGGGACUCAACUUGCAAAGUGGCUCUUGGCGAAUACCUCACCACCAUUAGCGUGAWAGGUGUCUUGCUGAGUCGGGCCAUCGUGAGUUGAGCCCAACGCUACAAGUCCGGGGUAUCUCGUGGUGGACACAGUGGACAGGGAGUCCACUAUAAACACAAAGGUCAAGAGAGAUGUCAAUGGAUCAAGAGGACUGUGGUGCAGRAAAACWUGGGUACCCCCACAUAUAACUGAAUAACUAUGACAACACUAUAUGGCUAGGCGGGUACCCAUCAAAUAUAUCCUAUACAUGAAACAUGAAGAUCCAAUAACAAAGGUCAAGACAUCUCCAAUGGAUCAAGAGGACUGUGGUGCAGAAAAACUUGGGUACCCCCACAUAUAACUGAAUAACUAUGACAAUACUAUAUGGCUAGGAGGGUACCCAUGCAUAGAUGUAUAGGAAACAUGAAGAUCCAAUCCGGGGUAUUAAGUGUCCUUACCCAACCACAGUAGCAAGAGAUACAAAGUUGCUCCUAGCAGCGGGAGUACAUGGGCCUCAAAUAAUGUGUGACU